GUUAGGAAUAUUGGACAAUGGACGCAAGUCUGAUCCAGCCAUGCCGCGUGAGUGAUGAAGGCCUUCGGGUUGUAAAGCUCUUUAGCCGAUGAUUAUAAUGACUGUAGUCGGAAAAUAAGCCCCGGCUAACUUCGUGCCAGCAGCCGCGGUAAUACGAAGGGGGCGAGCGUUAUUCGGAAUCACUGGGCGUAAAGCGUGCGUAGGCGGUUUUGUAAGUUGGGAGUGAAAGCCCAGGGCUCAACCCUGGAAUUGCUCUCAAAACUACAAGACUUGAAUUCGGGAGAGGAUAGCGGAAUUGUCAGUGUAGCAGUGAAAUGCGUAGAUAUUGACAGGAACACCAGUGGCGUAAGCGGCUAUCUGGACCGACAUUGACGCUGAGGCACGAAAGCGUGGGGAUCAAACAGGAUUAGAUACCCGGGUAGUCC
rnacentral:rRNA from 1 species